rnacentral:sRNA from 1 species
ACUUGGAACAUGACAUUCAGAAAUAACCUGUGUGUGUACAACGUUCUAUUGUUCCUCUGUCUAGUCCUAGUGACUCUCUAUGUCAACCAGCAAAGGAACAUGAUACUCAUUAGACUUGAUGCCUAUGAAACGAAACAAGGUAUUUUGAAUAAAGUUACAAGAACUGUGGAGGAUCUGGGUUCAGGUCCUUUAAUGAGCCUUCGAGAAAAAGGGUUUGUCGACAGCCUGGUGGGUCUAGACUUGGACUCGUUGAGUAACGAGACGCUGCUGAUUA